rnacentral:tRNA from 1 species
CGCAGCGUAGCUUAAGAGUAAAGCCCCCGGCUCAUAACCGGGUUGUUGCGGGUGCAAAUCCCGCCGCUGCCA